AGUCGCCUGAAGCGGGCAGUUAAACUGCUGCUGGGCACCUGCCAGCUCCUGGGCCAAACUCCAAGCCUCCCGGGCCCGCCUUCUCCAUCUGCACGCUAGCAAAGCAACUUGUCCACUGCAACAAGCACUGAAUCUCCAAUACUGAUCCACUUGAUCCUGAAUGAAGACUGCCACGCUGUGGUUCCUGCUAGUCAGGAACUCCUUGUUCCUAGGAAGAGCCAGCUGCCAACCGAAACUGCAGGCACCCUGAAGGCAGACCACUCUGCUCACCCUCCCAAUAGCACCAUGUCGGGCCAGCGUGUAGGUGCCAUCUUACACUGUGUAUCUAAAAGCUUCCUCCUGAGUGUCUGCCUCAGGCCGGGGCUCUCUGCCGGGCACCGAAACCUACUCAUAUCAAAUGCUAACUAUGAAGCAAAACACUGGCCAACAAUGAAUCAUAUAAUAAAACUUGAUGGAAUGACCUAAA